GGCGAGGCGGGAGUGGAGGGAGGCAGGCUGCGCAGCAUCCUCAAACUGCAGCUUCGCUCUGCGAGCCUCGAAACUGCCGUCAGCCAAAUCGUACUACGCAUGCUUGCAGAAGUCGACUUGCAAAAUUUCCACUUGAAAAGGGAUUGAGGAGGAUCAGGGCGAAACGGGCACCCAGCUCUGGUUGUGAACACCAGUGACUCCGGGUGCACGGUAUCUCUAUGUCCUUCAAGUGUCCUUGUUACCCUAAACAUGGUCAACACCAAGCCCUGGUCAGCCACCAGCCAUGCUGAGCCACAAAAACCAGGCUGUGAUGUGCAACAGUGCCCUUGAGAGGUGCAGACUCGAGGGUGUGUGUGACAACUGACAUCUACAUGGCGCAGAUGCGGCUGGGCAAGUCUUGUCUGGACACACAUCCCCUAGUCUCUGCCUCAAAACAAAGUGGGUGAGCAGGCUCACAGGAAACCUGAGCGCUACCUGCCCAGGUUCCCCAACUCUGUGCCUGGAGCAGUCAGGCGGCACGUUUCUUUCUGGUUUACUCAACUGCUUCCAAUCUGACUAACAAAGAAAAUGCCAGAACCCCUUAGACAGAUGUCAUCUUCAGGAAAAGUCCAUGUGUCUGAAAUGGUUCUCUUUUGAAUGUAUUUAUAAAGAUACGAAAUCUUA